UCAUUGGAGAGUUUGAUCCUGGCUCAGGACGAACGCUGGCGGCGUGCCUAAUACAUGCAAGUCGAGCGAAUCAAGAGGAGCUUGCUCCUCGAGGUUAGCGGCGGACGGGUGAGUAACACGUGGGCAACCUGCCUGUAAGACUGGGAUAACUUCGGGAAACCGGAGCUAAUACCGGAUGAUUCUUAUCUACACAUGUAGAUAAGCUAAAAGACGGCGCAAGCUGUCGCUUACAGAUGGGCCCGCGGCGCAUUAGCUAGUUGGUGAGGUAACGGCUCACCAAGGCGACGAUGCGUAGCCGACCUGAGAGGGUGAUCGGCCACACUGGGACUGAGACACGGCCCAGACUCCUACGG
rnacentral:rRNA from 1 species